rnacentral:rRNA from 1 species
UACGGGGGGAGCAAGCGUUGUUCGGAAUUACUGGGCGUAAAGCGCACGUAGGCGGAUUGUUAAGUCGGGGGUGAAAUCCUGGAGCUCAACUCCAGAACUGCCCUUCGAAACUGGCGGAUCUUGAGUCCGGGAGAGGUGAGUGGAACUGCGAGUGUAGAGGUGAAAUUCGUAGAUAUUCGCAAGAACACCAGUGGCGAAGGCGGCUCACUGGCCCGGUACUGACGCUGAGGUGCGAAAGCGUGGGGAGCAAACAGG